CUGUUGGAUUCUCAGGGAAAUGAAUUUACAGAAGGCUGUAGGCCAUCCCUGCAGAAGAGGUGAAAGGUCCUGACUCCUGAGAAGAACCCCACCUCCCUCUCCUGCAUUAGAGGCAGAGCUCCUGUCUAGCGUCCUGGUCUUUCCUGGACUGUUCGAGGACAGCCAGCAUGGUUUCCCGGACUGGAGAAGUCUGACUAGCAAUUUUUCCCAGGCCUACCCACCAGAGUGGACCUACUCUGUGCCUGUAUCCUGCGUCUGCUGCUGUACACACAUUCAUUCACAGAGUUCUCAUACAACUUGCAUGGCUUUGACUGGGGAAUCCAGACAUUGAGGUUUCUCUGAGGACAACUUUAAGUCCCUGCUGUCAUCAUCUUCAUCGCUGAUUUGAGAGAGGGUAAGUACCGCUUCUUUCUGAACUUAUUUUUUCCAAGGCUUGCAUUGGCAUCACUCAAGCUCUUAAUAGUUGUUUCAAAGGAUUUAAAAAUUACCAAAAUAAUUCAGACAUGUUCUAGUUUCUACUUAUGUGUAUAUAUAUCCAAGAGGACUUAAAGGAAAGUGACCACAUCAUAUGGUAGAGUGAAUACAAAAGGCGCUAUAACUAGACUUUGCUUCAAGUCCUAACUUUCUACUUAUAACUGGCUGUGUGACCUUGAGAAAGUUUCUUAACUCCUUCAAUUUCUUCAUCUACAAAAUGAGAAAUUUGGGCUGCAUUCUUCUGAAAUAUUCCCUAAAUUCUUUAAUAAUGUACUCAUAUGGAGAUUGAAAAGCACUGAUUUAAAGCAGUGACUUCCAAAGUCUGCUGGGAAAUCCUUCUGCCUCCAGCACUGGAGAAUGUACGAAAAAUGUACCUCCCCUAGCUAUUUCCCAGAUCUACCAAGUGAGACCCUUGAGGCUGAAGAGCAGAAGUCUGCCUCUAACAAACUCCUCCGAUGAAUUGGUUGCACAGUAAUGGUUGACAGCCAUUGCCCUCACCACUGAGAGUUUUGUUCUGGUCACAUGUAUGUUCAAUUCUGUUAGAUGUGAUAAUCCAGGUGGAAAUUGCCUGGAACAAUCGUGAACUUGUAGUAGAAUUAACAAGGUUGGCAUCUGGUGGCUGUUUUACCCUUUGUUUCUUGGCUCCGAACCUUUCAUCCUCCACUCACCAAUUCAUUGGCCAGGUGUCUUAUGUAGGCUCCUUGGCUCUCCUCCCCUUGGCUGCAACUCAGUGGGGGUAAAAUCCUU
rnacentral:lncRNA from 1 species